rnacentral:rRNA from 1 species
GGGUCAGUAGGUUGGUCGUGCCACCGGUACGUACUGGUCUCACUGAUUCCUCCUUCCUGAAGAACCGUAAUGCCAUUAAUUUGGUGUUGCGAGGAAACAGGACUGUUACUUUGAAAAAAUUAGAGUGUUUAAAGCAAGCUAACGCUUGAAUACAUUAGCAUAGAAUAAUGAAAUAGGACGAUCGAUCCUAUUUUGUUGGUUUCUAGGAUUGACGUA